rnacentral:rRNA from 1 species
UUGGAGGGCAAGUCUGGUGCCAGCAGCCGCGGUAAUUCCAGCUCCAAUAGCGUAUAUUAAAGUUGUUGCAGUUAAAAAGCUCGUAGUUGAAUUUCGGGAUCAAUUUAUCGGUCGUGCCUACGGUAUGAACUGGUACAAUUGGUUUCUCCCUUCUGACGAAGCAUGAUGUCAUUAAUUUGGUGUCGUGGGGAAUCAGGACUGUUACUUUGAAAAAAUUAGAGUGUUUAAAGCAAGCACACGCUUGAAUACAUUAGCAUGGAAUAAUGAAAUAGGACGUUUGACCCUAUUUUGUUGGUUUCUAGGAUCGACGUAAUGAUUAAUAGGGAUAGUUGGGGGCAUUAGUAUUCAAUUGUCAGAGGUGAAAUUCUUGGAUUUAUUGAAGACUAACUACUGCGAAAGCAUUUGCCAAGGAUGUUUUCAUUAAUCAAGAACGAAAGUUAGGGGAUCGAAGACGAUCAGAUACCGUCGUAGUCUUAACCAUAAACUAUGCCGACUAGGGAUCGGAUGAUGUUAAUUUUUUUAUGACUCAUUCGGCGCCUUACGGGAAAC